rnacentral:rRNA from 1 species
UCAGAUUAGGUAGUUGGUGAGGUAAAGGCUCACCAAGCCGACGAUCUGUAGCUGGUCUGAGAGGACGACCAGCCACACUGGGACUGAGACACGGCCCAGACUCCUACGGGAGGCAGCAGUGGGAAUUUUGGACAAUGGGCGCAAGCCUGAUCCAGCAAUGCCGCGUGCAGGAUGAAGGCCUUCGGGUUGUAAACUGCUUUUGUACGGAACGAAACGGUGAGCUCUAAUACAGUUUGCUAAUGACGGUACCGUAAGAAUAAGCACCGGCUAACUACGUG